rnacentral:lncRNA from 1 species
UGCAAGUCUCUUCAAAGCAUCCCAUUGCUCUCUCACCUGAAGCAUCUACAGGAUUUCUGGCUUUGGCAUUGCGUGUCUCUUCAAGAGAUCCCAGAGCUUCCAUCCUGCAUACGGAUGCUUGACGUUCGUGAUUGUCCCAAAGUGGAAAGGUUUCCAAAUCUUUCCGAUUUGGAAUUUUUGUCGAUAUUAAAGCUCCAGGAAUGCGAUGGGCUAAAGAAAUUGGAUGGACUGGGAUCUUUAAAAUCCCUAAGAGAUUUGCACCUACCGCUAUCAUCUGAUGAAAAGGUGGAUCAUCUCCAUGCGAUAGAAGGCCUUGAAAAAUUGGGAUCCCUAGAAGCGGUGAAUAUUUCUAGGCGCAAGCACAUUCAAGUAUUGGACCUUUCUAAAUCGGAGCAUCUGCAUCUGUUGAAUGUUACGGAUUGCAAAAGCUUAGUUGAAAUUCGCUGCCCUAGUAAAUUCCUUAAGGUCUUCUAUAGGGAUGGGUGCAAGUCACUCAAGAAAUUACCAGACCUUUUUAUUGAGGUAAGCAAUAGCAAGAAGCUGACUGAGGUUUGCUGGCUAUCGUCAAAUCUAACGUUUGAUAGUACUUGAUACAAUUUGAUGCGAGCAACACCAAAAAGAUUGACUUGGUAACCCUGCUCUGCUUUACAGGAUUAUGUAGAAUAUUCAGAUUCUAUGGAGGAGGAUUAUGAAGAAUCUUCAGAUUCUAUGGAGGAUGACUAAGAUCUGUUUCUGGAGAUCGUUGAAGUCAUUUACUAAACAAAAAAUAUAGCAGGUACAGUGUCGUUUUUCUGUGUAGAUUACUUGCUUCCAUUAGUAUUUUCAGUUUGGACGGGGCUUUUCUUUGACACGUUAUAAUUUUCUUGUCUUAAUUCCAGCAACUGGAGGAAGUUGUUUGAGCCAAGUAAUUGUAAUGCUUCAGUGUUAUUUGGCUUGUGAUCAUGAUAUGAAUACAAAAGGUCAGAAUGCCUCCAGAAGGAUAUAUGUUGUAUUCAGUCAAAUAACAUGAGAUUCUUCAUUCUUAACGUGGUAUCAGUCUGUGUUUGUUUAAAUAAAGUAAUACUUCUCUCCAACUUCUAUGAAGUAGAGAAAUUCACUAUCUGAUGGAUUCUGGAAACUGCUCACACAUGUGAUCUUGAUUGCAUUUUAUUAAUUCGUUAUUUGGUCAUGGAUGUAGGCAGUGAAGGUGCCAUAAACAUGUUCCGCAUUUUCUCAAAGCUAGGGCACUAAUGUCAAGAUGAUUAAUCUCCAUGGAUCUGUAUUGAACUUUGCUCGUUGCUUAACAUGCCAAUGGCCUUGAUCAGGCUGAAAGUAUUAUCAUCAACGAUCAAAACCAGUACAAAUCAUGAAGCCACUCUUUCCUUGUUUUUCUUCAUGCCUUCAAUUAUCAUCUUGCGAUUUUGUACCUUAACAUCAUUUGCAAUUUAUUACUUCAGUUUGGUCAUUGUUUGGUGAUGACAAUGUCUCCACCCCAGAGGCUUUAAAAAAACGGAGGAUUUCCAUGGUAUUGUGGAUAGCAGCUUGAGAUCCAAAACAGAAGUAUGGAGGAAGCCCUUAAAUCAACCUUAUUGCUUUCAUGUUUUUGGGAUAAACAUGACAAGUAAUCAAUGGGUGGCUAGAAAGGUGAUUUGCUUAAGUCCUUUAAUGUUUGGGAGCUGAUCUAGAUCUCUAAUUGCCAUAUGUUCUUGAUCUAUAGCUCAAAUCCGAAUGUUUUGCUACAGUUGCCACUGAACAGAAUUGGAAAGUCACUCCUGCAAUAAUUGGGGUUUCAACCAGAAAUGUGCACUAUUUUUAGCUUGGCUGAUAUGGGGACAAAAAAUCUGCGGAGCUCGAGUAUUACCCUACUGUUUAUGGCUCUGAAAAGAAGUGGGAGGAGCUGUGCAUGUGCAUUUUAAUUCUAUGGGGAGCUUAAAUGGUACUGCAUCAGAAGCAAAUAUUUCCAACUACAACUGUAAUCUUGACAAUAAGAAUAACUCAUUGGCAAUAUUAGGAGUGCAAAUUGACUUGGAAGAUACUAAUCAUGUUCUUUUAUCAUCAUUUGCACAAUAGUUAAUGUGGAUCUCUGAAUCCUGAUGAGAGAAAUCAUGUUAGUUUAUUUUCACCUACACAAGAAUACCAGAAUGAUGAUAACACAUAUACCCCAUGUAGAAUCAUGAAAAAUAUUUGCAUGACAACAGCACGACAAAGAUCGGAUUCUGGAGAGCGUCCGUGUUUUCUGGUAAAUGUAAAUAUAGCAGUUGAGAGUACCUACUUCACAUUAGUAUUUUCAGUUUGGCAUGGGGCUUUUUGUGUCGAUGUCUUAUUGUUUUCCUCUUAUUUCAAGGACUCUUGGGGAAACUAGUCGACCACAUGAAUGUGAUGCUUCAGCAUCAUCUGGCUUGUGAUCCUGGUGGGAAAGAAAAUAGAUAAGAAUGCCUUUGGAGUACAUGACAUUGCAUGUCAUUAUGCGUCAUCAAUCACGGAGUAAGACUCUUCAUCCUUGACAUGACAAGAAUAUGUUCUUAUGCAAACCGAGUAUUACGUUUUUCCAAGUUCUAUUAAAGUUGGUUUCCUAGAGCAUAGGAUGUUUAUUAUGUGAUUUUUUCAUUCAUUCACGCAUAAUAAAACAGAGCUUCAUUCAUUGUUAGCAAAAGUUCAACCCAAAAGCUUAAAGUAUUAGUUAGAGGUAGACUACAUGUAUAUAACCCCUAUCGAUGCCCUUUACUCAACCAAUGUAAAAUAACACUUCUAAGGAUUGAUUGAUCAUAGCAACUACUCAUGUUUAUGUGGUUUCAAUUGCAUUUUUAGUAGCUUAUAUUCACUUAUUCUGUCAUGGAUUAAUAAGCCACUGGAGGCAUCAUCAUAAGAUUAUUACUUUUCAGACACCGAUGUUGAGAUGAUGAAUAUCCAAGGAUCUAUAUUCCACUUUGUUUGUCAAUUGAAGUGCUAAUACGUAGAUUGUUCAAUCUGAUGGUGGAGUUAUGGCCUUGAUUCUGUCAAAAGUAACAUCCUGUACGGUGGAAAUCUGGUAGGAAUCAUUUUGCGCGCUGUCUUAUUCUUCAUCGUGCCUAUAUCCAUCUCCUUUGUUCAUACCAUCAAUAUCUUUACAUAUUGAAUUUGCAUCCUUCUAUUCGUUCUUCAUUUGGUGACGACAAUUUCUCAUGCUCCUGAUUUCUUUAAAUGACCAGGAGCUUCGCUAUAAUUUCAGCAAUGGUGUGAGAUCCAAACCAAAUAUCUGGGAUAUGGAUGCAAGGGGGACGCUCUUUAAGCUGAUUGCAUUGCGUCUUGUGAUUCUAAGGAUGGGCGUAAGAAGAGGAGGAGGGUGGAAAUCGAGCAGAGAGAGAACGGGAAGAGAUUGAGGGGUCCAACAUCAUCUGGUGGUCUGUUUCUGUCUUCCUUCUAGUGGACAACGACGGGAUGACUAAUUCGAAAGUGAGAUUCAUGCUCACUGAUUGCUUUGACCCUUGUGCUCCAGCUUGAAUGGAAGGAUCUUCAUGUUGGGUCUUCAUUGCUUCUGGUUGCCAUAUCUUCAGAGUCCAGGUGAUUGGACCCCUUUCAACAUUAAUCCAUUCUUGUCGCCGAUUGAUCGGUUUAGUCAUUGGUUGAUUCUUGGUGUGAUUGGUGCAUGCGCAUUCUGGUGAUUUGACGUUUUGAGUUGCUAUUAGUGGUUUGAUCUUGGAUGCUCGAUGUCUACACACGGAGGAAAUGAAAAAAAGACUAAUUAGAGCUUUUCUGCAUGUUCAGCGAAGCAUGUUUAGUUGUCCUGUUAUAUUUAUCAGCUUGUGAUUCCUGUUAGGUGCAGAAAUCUGCUCGUUUAUUCUCUUCUACCAGUUUGCUAUGGUGUAAUGAGAUAACUAUAGCAGCUUUUGAUUAGGUUUCCUAUCAAUGGUGGUGAAUUUUCCUUAUGUUAUCUGAGCAGGCGUAGAGCAAGUAUAGCAGGAUUAUCAGGACUUAUGAGCCUAUUACAGGUUUAGGUUGAUUUUUAUCACCCUGUCUAGGUAGCGUGGAAAUUGACUGCAGAGUUGUUGGAACUAAUGUGAACUAACUUUAGGUUGAAUGGGAAGAUUACCUUGAUUGAUGAGGUUCUACUUUCACAGCCAUUUCUUUCAUGUUCCCGGAUCUUGAAGCACCUUGAGGGGUGAUGAGAAGUGAAAAGAUGAACAGUCUCCUGUGAACCAUUUUUUUUGUACCUAUGAUCCAAAGUAGCAUUUUCUUCAUGAGUAUGUGGACAUUCCUUUCUGAUAAGAUUUUCCGAGGAUGUCCUUACUCAUACCAGUUAGCUAAUAACGUGGUGAAAUGGUGUUGAAGGCAGCUAAUUUCACACGGAAAAGGAUGCUAAUGUCCGAAUUGUUGUGAUGGUGAUAUGGCUUGUUCAUUUUGUCCUUACUUUUUUUAUUUUGCUAGCUUUCUAGUUGAAUGGAAUUGCUCCUCAUCUCCUUCUGACUGGGGGAAAAUGCAAAAGCUUAAGCUGUGAUAAUAGAAGUCCAUUGGUUUCUUCUUUCACUAGGGGUUAUCGAGCUCUGACACUGUGGUGUGUUUGGAAGAACUUUUGCUUCUAACUUUCAUCUAUACUAUUGUUUUUAGCAUUUGCAAUGUGUCUUUUGUUCAAUAAUCAGUGCUUCAAACCUUCAGAAAACAUAAAAGUUUGCAUUUUAUGGCCAAUUGUAGCAAAAUAAUUCUUGUCUUGCUGACAAGAUCAGGAAGUACCUUCUGAUUUCUAUUGUUGUAACGAAAACACCAUUAAAUUUGUUUCUAUUUGCAUGGUUGGUUUUCAUUCUGUCAUCCUCUGUAUGGAUCCUCUAUAAUGUGAUGGUCUUGCUUUUUGAAGGUUACAAACUCUAUGCUAGUCAACUGUCGCCUGCACCGAUGUGAAAUUCAGAGUACAAAGUUGACUGAAUCUGACAGUAAGUGGCUUUUCUUUUAAGUUACUUGAAGAUUUCAGUUCACAAAAAGGUGUCGAAGAAUGACGUUGAGUUGUGCUUGAGAAAUAUCUGGUUGUUGGCCAGUUCAAGUAUGAAUUUGAAGAUUGUGUCUCUAGCGGGGAUGGGUUAUGUUUGAUGCAGGGGUGGAGACUUACUUUGGCCAAUUUAUUGUCUAUUCCUUAGCUUUUCAACAUUUUUUCUUUUCUCAUGUUGGUUAAGAAGGUUGAUCCACCGUUGAGCCGUGCCCUCAAUCGCUGGUUUUGCAUUGUUCCGUUGUUGAGUCUCUCCCUGAUUCGCCUUCAAAAACUCCAUCUGUGCUGCUUGGGAAGCUUGAUUGUGGAAUGUUAAGGAAGAAGAUCAAUCUUUGGAGCUUAGUUUGGAGGCUUUAGAUGUUGCCGCCGUACAAUAAGCAACAUUUGUUUUGUCCAAUUUGAUUGUUGCAGAUAAUUAUGUCACUGUUCAAAUCUGCUUUUGUUGAACAAGUGUACUAUAUUUUUAUAUUAAUACAUAAAGUUAGUUUGCGGUGUUCAUCCGCAAGUUUAAGAGUUGAAGCACGCCGGUUGGUAGAGAAGUUACUGAUUUGGUGUUAAUUCUUAUCCCUAGUAGUUUGGUGCAGUAUGUUGUAAUUGACUUAUGGUGAUGAAGUUACUGUAAUACUUGGGAUUUCACCAAGUAAAAAAGAACUUCUGGGGCCUAAGAAAAAAAAAAAAAACAAAAGAGAAGGUUGAAAAGUCAACUAAACAAGGGAAGUGGUCGUUGGCUUAAUGGGAGAAAAAAGAGACGCUUAGCUCCCUAUUAGACUAAGGGCUCAUGUAGAAAGGAAAUGGAGAUAAGAGAGAAAGAAAAAGAUCUGAUUCUGGAGAUUGCUAACAUCUCCCACUAAACAAAAAAUAUAGCAGGUAUAGUGCCAUUUUUCUGUGGAGAUUACCUGCUUUCAUUAGUAUUUUUAGUUUGGACAGGACCUUUCUUUGACAAAAUAUUAUUUUCCUGUCUUAAUUCCAGCAACUGGAGGAAGUUGUUUGAGCAAAGUAAGUGUAACGCUUCUGUGUUAUAUGGCUCGUGAUCAUGAAAUGAAAUAAAAAGAUCAGAUUGCCUCCAAAAGGAUAUUUUGAUGUCUUCAGUCAAAUAGCACGAGAUUCUUCAUUCUUGACAUGGUAUCAAUCUGCGCUUGUGUAAAUAAAGUAAUACUUCUAUCCAACUUCUAUGAAGUAGAAAAAUUCACUAUCCGAUGGAUUCUUGAAACCGCUCAUGCAUAUGUGAUCUUGAUUGCAUUUUGUUAAUUCGUUAUUAGGUCAUGGAAGUGGGCAGUGAAGGUACCAUAGAUGUGUUUGGCAUUUUCUCAAAGCCAUGGCACUAAUGUCAAGAUGAUGAAUCUCCAUAGAUUUGCAUCAAACUUUGUCUGUCGCUUAAUAUGCCAAUGUGAAGGUUGCUCUCUCUGAAGGCGGAUAUAUGGCCUUGAUCAGGCUGUUCAAAGUAUCAUUUCCUAUUUGAUCCCUUUGAAUUCCAUAUUCGAAGUUGCGAUCGGAUCUAUUCAUUAAAAAGAAUCGAUUCCAUACAUUUCUUAUCAAUGGUGGAAAUCCAGUACAAAUCAUGUUGCUGCUCUUUCCUUGUUUUGCUUCAUGCCUUUAUUAAUCAUCUCGCAAAUUCGUAUCUUAACAUCAUUUGCAAUCUAUUACUUCAGUUUGGUCAUUGUAUGGUGAUGACUAUGUCCACGCCCUAGAGGCUUUAGAAGAAUAGAGGAUUUCCACUGUAUUGUGGAUAAGAGUGUGAGAUCCAAACCAGAAGUAUGGAGGAAGUCCUUAAAUCAACUAUAUUGCUCUCAUGUUUUUGGGAUAGACAUGACAAGUAAUCAAUGGGUGGCUAGAAAGGUGAUUUGCUUUAGUCUUUUAAUGUUUGAGAGCUGAUCUAGAUCUCUAAAUGCCAUCUUUUCUCAAACUACAGCUCAAAUCAGAAUGUUUUGUUACAGCUGUCACUGUAUGGAAUUGGUUUCAGCCAGAAAUGUGCACCAUUUUUGGGACAAAAAAUCUUCAGAGCUCGGGUACUACCCAGCUGUUUAUGGCUCUGAAAUGAAGUGGGAGGAGCUGCGCAUAUGAUUUUUAAUUCUGUGGAGUGUUUAAUUGGUACUGCAACAGGAGCGAGGACUUCCUACUAAAACUGUAAUCUUGACAUGGGAAUAGCUCACUGGCAAUAUGAGGAGGGCAAAUUGACUUGGAAGAUAGUUGUCAUGUUCUUUUAUUAUCACUUGCACAGUAGUUUGAUGCGUGUCUUUGAAUCCUGACGAGAGAAAUCACGUUCUUUUAUUAUCAUAUUCAGUUGAGAGUACCCAUCUCACAUUAGUAUUUUCAGUCUAGCAUGGGGCUUUUCAUGUCAAUGUCUUAUUGUUUUCUGUCUUAUUUCAACUAAUCUUGGGGAAAUUGGUUGACCACUUGAAUGUGAUGCUUCGGCAUCAUCUGGCUUGUGAUCCUGGUGGGAAUGAAAAUAGAUAAGAAUGCCUUUGAAGUAGAUUGCAUAUCAUUAUACGUCAUUAGUCACAAAGUAAGACUCUUCAUCCUUGACAUGAAUCUGUUCUUACGCAAAAAGAUUAUUACUUUUUUCCAAGUUCUAUUAAAGUUGUUUUCUUAGAGAACAGGAUGUUAAUUAUGUGAUUCUUUCAUUCAUUCAUGCAUAAUAAAACAGAACUUCAUUCAUCGUUCGCAAAAGGUCCAACCAAAGGCUUAAAGUGUUAGCUGAGGUAGACUCAAUGUAUGUAACCCCUAUUGAAACCUUUUAUUCAGCCGAUGUCAAAUAACACUUUUAGCAAUUGAUUGAUCAUGGCCACUACUCAUGUCUAUGUGGCUGUGAUUGCAUUUUUAGCAGCUUAUGUCCAGUUAUAUAGUCAUGGAUUGGUAAGUCACUAGAGGCACCAUCGUAAGAAUUUUACUUUUCUCAGAUCCAAGACACUGAUGUUGAGAUGUUGAAUUUCCAUGGAUUCUGCCCUCUUUGUCAAUUGAGAUGCUAAUACAUAGAUUUCUCAAUCUGAUGGUGGAUUUAUGGCCUAGAUCCUGUCAAAAGUUGCAUGUUGUACGGUGGAAAAAGUGGUAGGAAUCAUGUUGCGCUCUCUUAUUAUUCCUUUACGUAUCGAAGUUGCAUCCUUUUGUUUGUUCUUCAUCUGGUGGUGACAAUUUUUGAUGCCACUUAAAAUGACCAGAAGCUUCACUGUAAUUUCGGCAAUGGUGUGAGAUCCAAACCAAAUAUAUGAGGUAUGGAUGCAACAAGGACAAUGGACAUUCUUUAAGCAGGUUGCAUUGCGUUGUGCUUUAUGAAUGGGAGCUAUCUGUCAUAAUAAUGAAAACAGAUGUUUUACUUCACUCGUGGGAUGUUUGAGAGCUAAUCUGCAUCCAUGAAUGUCUAUUUUUCUUGAACUAAGUAAUUUAGGGUGCGUUUGGUAACAUUUUUAUUUAAAAAUUAUUUCUGGGAACAGAAAUAGAAAAAAGUAUUUCUGCUUCAGGGAACAAUUUUUGAACAAAAAAAUAAAUCUAUUCCAGAAAUAUAAAAAGAAUAGAAACACGUUUGGUAAAUUUGUAUAAUUUUUUUUAAUUUUUAAUUUUAUUUUUCUAUUUUCUUUCUUAUUUUUCUUAUUUUCUUAUUUAUUUUUCCUUUUUUCUUCUUUUGGGCCGGUCGCCGACCUCGGCCAUGGUCGGCGACCGGCCGACGAGGGCCGGCGGCCUCUCCCAGCCACGGCGAGGCUUGCCGGCCCCAGGGCGAGGCCGCCGGCCCCCGGUGAGGCCGAGCCUCGCCGUAGCUGGGCGAGGGUCGGCCUCGCUUUGGCUGGGCAAGCUCGAGCUCACCCAGAUUCGGCGAGGUCGAACUCGCCCAGCGGCCGGUGAGGCUCGGCGUCGCCGGAUUUGGGCAAGAUCAAGCUUGCCCAGCCCGGCGCGAGGUCGGCCUCGCCUUGGCUGGGCGAGCCUGGCGGUGGCCCGACGAGGUCGCCGGCCCUUGACGGACGGUCACCAGCCAUGGCCGAGGCCGGCAACCGGCCAUAGAAAAAAGAAGAAGAAGAGAAGAAGAAAAAAAUGUUUUUAAAAUGUGUUCCAGAAACAAGAAAUAACUUUUUUCUUGUUUCUUGUUUCUGUUCCAGAUGUGUUUCUGGGGACAAAAAAAUAAUUUUGGAACAAAAACGCAAACAAACGCGUUUCUGUUCCUUUUUUGUUCUCAGGAACAAAAAAACAGAUUUUUUUUUUUUAAAACAGAAAAAAGAAAUCAAAACAAACGUAGCCUUAGUAACUUUUCUCUCUAAAAACAAAGGCAACCUUAGUAACUUCUCUCUCUCUCUCUCUCUCUCUCUCUCUCUCUCUCUGAAGGACAGUAAUUUUCCUCAAAUUUGGUUAUGUUACUUACAAAUUUUUCAUAAAAUGCACGAUUUUGCCUCUUAAAUUGUACUUAAUGUUAUUGAUAAACAUGCAUAUAAAGAUUGCAAUUAAUCUCUUGUGUAACUAAGGCUAACAAUACCUACUGGUUAAAUAGUUUUCCCAUAAGGUCCUAAUCCUCCUCAAUCAGCCAUAUGUACCAACGAUACCUAUCAUUAGCACCUCCUCAUUCUUAAGCACAAUAUCCUUUUUCUUCCGCCGAACGUUGCCAUGUACAUAAGAAGUAAUUAUUUUUAGUGUAAAUAUUAAGGGGAAAUUACGUAAAAAAGUAAAAAAGAAAAUGAAAGAGGGAGUAGAAAGUGGCAUUGGAAGCUCCUCUUAUUUGUGGUCAAUAAAUCAAUCAACCUACUCAUUUUCAUGAGUCUCGCGUGUUCUGUUCUAAAGUCCAAAAGCUCAAUAGAUACAGGGAAACACAGAGAGAUUUGAAGAGCGCACCACUUGGAGUUAACCGCUUCAUGAUUGAAGCACUCUGGUUGGGGUAGCUAAGACGUUCUAGAAAAUGGCUUUAACUCGUCUAGAAUGAAGCUUUGAAAUUCUUGCAAUGGAUUCGUAUGCUCAGAAAUUGACCAGAACUUGCGGGACAUGGACAUUGCUAUCUGAAUCACAACAUAUCAAGUGCUUGAAGAGUUUAGAACAUCCCAUCUUAACAAUAAAUACAUUUCGGGCACUCAACUUCGUUAAGGAGAUAAAUGUCAAUACUAUAGAGUCAGCCCUUGUAAAAAUCUCACACACAUAGGGCUUUCCUCAAGUAAAUUGUGCGGCGAAGCUCAAAAUAAAUAACCUCAAUGCCCAAACCUCGUGAUGAAUCCUACAUCAUCAAUAAAAUCCGUGAUGUUACCAAUACAAGAAAAUACUCUCGGGCACAACACAAGGGCAUUUUCCUAGAGAAAUAGUUGAAUUGGAUAGAAAGCAGAGGGUGAGUCGAGCAAUGCUCUCGCCUAUGGGCCAAAAAGGUUUCGAAAAUGGCUUCACUGAAGUGAAGCGUUGUGAUUGAGCAAUGAGCAUUGCACAUUGUAAAAUUAGGUCGUUAAUGGUUCCGUUAAAGUUAAAUUCGUUCGAAAAGUAUACAUCAUUUAUAAUUCAUCGUUGCUAGGUACAGAAGCAUGGUGGUGGGGACUUGAGAAGAUUAUAGUAGGUGAUUUGGGACAUUCAUAUAUGAAAAAUGAGAUACAAAUUUAACACAUUAAUGAAAUGUUUGUUACACAAACUAUUGCACACAUUAUUGUAGGGAGAAUUACCAAAAAAAUCCUAAACCUAUUGCAAUUGUGCCAAUUCAGUCAUAAACUUUUUUUUUUGGCCAAUUUAGUCCUAAAUCUUUUUACAAUUGUGCCAAUUCAAUCCAUCCGGCCAAAAUUGGCCAACCGGCGCUGACGUGGACGUUGGAUAGUUGGCUGGCGAACAAUUUUUUAAUUUUUUUUCUUUUUUUCCCCACCUUUUUCUUCCUCUGGUAGGCCGGCAAUGAGGGCCGGCGAGGUUAGCCUCAUCAGCCACUGGCUAGUGAGGCUUGACCUCGCCAUGGCUAGGUGAGGCUCUCCUUCGCCCGUGGCCGGCGGGGGCAAGCCUCGCCCGCUUGGCCUGAGGAAGAAGAAGGGGAAAAAAAAGAAAAAAAAUUCAAAAAAAAAGUAUUAAAAAAUAUUAAAAAAAAUUUCGCCAGCUAGCUGUCCUUGGCUGGUGUCCACCUUAGCAUCGGUUAACCAAUUUUGGCCGGAUGGACUGAAUUGGCACAAUUGUAAAAAGUUUAAAACUAAAUUGGUAAAAAAAAAAAAUUUAGGACUGAAUUAGCACAAUUGUAAUAGGUUUAUGACUUUUUUGGUAAUUCUCCCCAUUAUUGUACUUUUGUCUUUGAGUACUUCCAAGGAAUGGAGAUGCUGGUUGUGAAAGUUGACCAGAUGCUUUCAGGGGGUAUGAGCUUUGGAUCAUUAUACAGAAAAAGUAGAAGAAUUUAGCAACGUUUUAAUAAAUUAGUGAAUCACCGAUUUUUUUUUCAACUUUUAUAAGCCUGAUUAGUAAAAUACAAACCUUGAAAUGAUUUUUACCAAAGUCCCAAUAAAUUAUUUAAUGACCAAUUUUUCUCAAAUUUACAGGUGUGGCACUAUAAUAUAUUUAUAGAAAUGUUAAUGAAACUAGAAAGUUACAAACUUCUUUCGUUAUGAGAUUUAUUUUCGUCAAUUGAAAAUUUUCUAUUGUUAAUGUAUUGACAAUUUGAAAAUAGCAACAUAGCAAGAGGAGUUUUAAUAUUUAAUCACAGAAUAAAAAGAUGGAUUAUUAGUUAAAAAAGGUACAAAAUGAUAUAUUGAAAACUUUAGUUUCACAAAGCAAACAUAUUUUCGAUAAAAUAAAAGAGAAAUAUUUUCCUUUACGUUGAAACUUUUUAACGAACUAGAUUUGUUAGUUCUUUUCUUUAAUUUAUAUAUUUUAUUUUGGAUCUGUGAUACUUAAUAUCCAAAAUUUCAAAUUAUAUGAUGAAAGAGGAGAGGAAAAGGUCGAUAAUUUUUUUUUUGUCUCCUUUCCCUUUUACAUAAAAUAAUUAGGUCAACUUUUAUCAUAUUCAAUGACAAUAAGGUAUUAUUUUCCUUCUCUUAUGUGAUUUGAGGAACAGGGAAGCUCAUCCAGGAUUCUGACCUAAUGUUUCGGAGAAAUCAUUCUAUUGAUAAUAUUGACAAUGAUCAAAAUGCCUUCUAAAUACAUCAAAUCUCACGAGCCAUCACGUAAGAUUGUUCAUCUUGGAUAAGCUAUCAAUGACUUUCACAAGCAAAUCUGAGUUAUAAUUGUCUUGAAGUAAUACUAUUGAAGAAUGAUUUGCUUCCUUCCUUGAAAUCAAUUUGGUUCUAUUACUCUCUUAUGCAAAUAUUUUCCAUUUCAUAUUAUCCAUGAGCAUGCUCAGCUUGAAUAGUUAAUUUAUAUAUUUAUUUUGGGUUUGUAAUACUUAAUAUCCAAAUUUUCAAAUUUUAUAAUGAAAGAGGAGAGGAAAAGGUUGAUAAUUUUUUUUUUUCCUUUUGUCUCAUUUCCCUUUUACAUAAAAUAAUUAGGUAAACUUUUAUCAUAUUCAAUGACAAUAAGGUAUUAUUUUCCUUCUCUUACGUGAUUCGAGGAACAAGGAAGCUAAUCUAGGAUUAUAACGUGAUGCUUCAGAGAAAUCAUUCUAUUGAUAAUAUCAACAGUGAUUAGAAUGCCUUUUGAAUACAUCAAAUCUCACGAGCCAUCAAGUAAGAUUGUUCAUCCUGGAUAAGCUAUCAAUGACUAUCACAAGCAAAUCUGAGUUAUAAUUGUCUCGAAGUAAUACUUUUGAAGAAUGAUUUGCUUCCUUCCUUGAAAUCAAUUUGGUUCUGUUUACUCCCUUAUGCAAAUAUUUUCCAUUUCUUAUUAUCCAUGAGCAUGCUCAACUUGAAUAGUUAAUUGCUUCAAAUAUGUACUCUUUAGGAAAUCCUUUGAGCUUCAGUUAUUUCUGUCCCUUAACAAUUCUUUUCAUGUUAAAUCAUCAGCAUGUUUUUGAUACAUUGCUACAUUUCUUCACAAGAUUCAUUGGCCAUUUUGGAUUCCUUGAUCAGAUUAAUGUGUCAAAUUUGACCAAGGGCUGAAAAUCGAUCAUGUUCAUCCUUUUUGGAAAAUUAUCUUCUGAUUUGAUGUUAUGUUCAUUCAGGCAUUAGAUUUUUUUUUGCCAAGCAAGGUGUUGAUACUCAUUCUAGAACUUCCAAAUAGCAAGAUAUACUAUAUCAUGCUAACUAGGAUAAAAGAAGGGUGGCGCUUUGAUCUGGAAUAUAUAACUAAAACAGAACCACAUGUGCAGGUGGUUCUAUCGUGAGAUUAUGAAUGAAGUGACCGUGUAAAGUGGACCUGAUGCAGCCCACAUUGAAGACCGGCUCUCUCGACCAAGAAGAUCAGCCCGCAUUAAAGCUCGACGACACCGAGAAGCCAUAACGACAUCUUGAGUCCAUUCCGGAAGCUUGAAAGACACCUUGGAAGCUCGCGUGACGCUUUUACUAGUUUAUAGUUUCCAUGCCCUUUACUAUAUAUCCUAUUUUCAAUGCUCCGUUUUUAUUUCUCCUAGUUUUCAACGCUUUGUCUUUAUUUCUCCUAGUUUCAAUGUUCUGUUUUUAUUUCUUUGAUGAUAUAAGCCAAUCCCUUGUAGAAGACAGAUAGCUUUUGAUGAAUGAAAAACUUUGCUUGAAGCAAGUAUCAUGAACCUUGUAGAGUUAAACCCUUGAAAACCUAGAAGAGUUUUCGCUCCGUCCUUGAAGAGUUGGAGCUUUCGAAAUCUGCAUCCUUGAAGAGUUGCAGUCAUCGAUCUAGAAGAAUCGGUGUCCCUUUCAACUUCCUUGGAGGCCUAGAAGAGCAACCAAUGAAGUUCCUAUAUUUUCCUGUUCUGUUCGUUACUUCCAACCCAAUUUUGACUAUCCUACAGUGCUUAUUUCAGAAAACCCAAUACACAGAAAUUUUAGAUCCAGAAGUCUUUGUUUAUUUGGCUUUGGAAUCAGAUCGAUCCGAUCUGUAUCGACAAAGAUAUGACUGUUCUCCUGAGCUUGUGCAGUGCUGAAAUUACUGUUCGUCCCGUUUCUUGUGCGCGAGUCACUCUCCCGAUCCUAUUGUUUGAGAAAGCCUCCCCUAGGCUUGCAUCAGGACCAUUGGUUUUGUCACCGGAAUGAAGGCAGAGCUGGACGCUGUUCUUGCUUUGUGAGAGUUGUGGUGUCAAGACCGCUAUAAAAGAUGAAGAUUCCUCACUGGCACCUCGCGGCAUGAUUCGGUGCUAAUAAAUUUAGGGGAUAACAAGUUGAUCUCAUGAUGUAGCCCUGAUCUGCAGGAGCUGUUAAUGCCUUUCUUGGUGAUAUUUUUCAGUUUUUGAGUGGCUAUUUGAAUUGAUGCAGUUCGUGAAGGUUGCAAUUUGUAAUUAUUGUUCUUGACAGUUCAGGCAGCUUGAGACUCUGGAACUGUAUCCAUCCAACACCUGAUUUGUUGAAGGAAUGACACUUGACAGCAAUGUCCUUAUGAACUUGAGAAAAAUAUCAAUAAUGAUCAUGUGAUUCCUAACACCGAGGAUUGAAUAUCCUAACAUCCGAAACAGAGGGAUGCAGACGCGGAGUUUCAUGAUUUGGCAUAAUCCAACUUAGUGAAAAUUUAACAAUUUCCAUUCGAAAUUCUUUUGUUUUAGAGAGAACAUAUUUUCAUAACUGGGACAGUUGCUGACUUGAUGUUAGAAAGCUAUUUGUCAACGAUUCAAAUGUCAUUUUUGGUUGCCCUUACGGUAAAAUCAAAUUCUUUCACCCCGACCAUGAGACUGUUCGCAUUAGCUAAUUAAGUACCCAAGUACAGAGUACCACGUUUGAUCCGCAUUAUAUGGCAUUCUAAAUUAGCUAGGCACCUUUCAUUUUCAUUUUCCUUUUUCCCAUUUGUUGCAACAGAACAAAGACAAACCGCCGGAAGGGAAAAAAAAUCAAAAAAGAAAGGGAUGAUCACGAAGUGAGUGAAGGGAUCAGAGUUGAUAUAUCCGUGGAACGUGGACAGAGAGAUUCAGGGCUUGUGGAGGUAUCUCCCGGCAAGCAACGCAGCUUCCAUGACAAUGGAGAGGACGUCGACAUCCUCGACUUUGCAUUUGCUUCCUUUAAAGGUUCUCCCUCUAGAGUUCUUGAAGUUGGUCAUGCAGUUCGGUAAGUUUUGGCUGCACUUCUGGCUCAAAUAGUCAUCUGCACAACACCUUCCCAGGUCUGAGCAUCACAAUUCCAAUAUUUCUAUGAGGAUGACACGACCUGCUCUAUGAAUAAAAGAUCAAAUUGAACAAUCAUGCGAUAUGAUUUCAUCACCAUAACUUCGCACAUUUGACGAGCCAGAGUAUUAGUUGAAGUUAUUGUCCCCAACUGCUCCAUGAGAAAAGAGAAAAUCUAGACAUGGGCUUUUUGUAAUGAAAAGCAAAUGUUGAUGUCAUUGCCCUCACAAGAGCAUUUACUCCCUCACAAUCUCCUCCCCCAGACCUCAGAAUAGUAAUUAAAGUUGGCUCAUGAAUGGAGAGAUAGUUUAAUGACAUUAUAGAAGAGCAAAGCCCUCGUAGGCACAUUAAUCUUACUCAUGUCUCUUCUUUCUUUUGACCCAUUAGUCCCUUACGCCAUUUUAUCUAUCUCCACUAUGUAAUAUGCUUUUUCGGGAAUGUGAAUCCAUGCAUAUAUAGACGAGUAAAGCUAUUGUUCACCAACGAAAAUGGCUUCCACAAUCGUUUUCAUAAAAUACAUCCAUGCAAACACGCGGACCACUUACUAGUUAUAUCGAUUGAUUCAAUGAAGAAAAGUUGAAGGAAUUGAUGCCGAAACUCACAGUUUUUUGGCUUGAGGCUUGAAUGUAGGCGUCGUGCUUCAUGCAGCAAGCGUCAAGGCCAUCGUAGGGCCUCUCCUCCGGACAUCCGCUAUACAGGAGCCCCCAAUACUUGCCAUAUCUCAUAAAUGGAGGCACUGAGUCAUUUUCAAUGAUAUUUCUUUUUAUGUUCAAUACUAAUUAAUCAACCACAAAAAAAGAAAAAGCUCCAAUUUAAUUGACAAAUCCUUCUUCGCAUCAUGCCCCAAAAAAAUUGAUUUUCUUUUUUUCUAGAGAAGAGCAAGCAUCACUAGAUAUUUGAGCAUAACUCGGAUUCACAUUUUCUGCUAUAGUCUUUGCUUUGCAAAAUUAUUCAUUUGAGUAAGAAAAAAUGUUGCACCUGGUGAUUAUUAUAAUUAUUGUGACUAAUAAUCAUGUUUUGGGUGAAUUGGAUAGUUUCAGUUGUAUACUUCCACAACUGUGAGUUAACCAUGUUCUAUACGAAGAGAGUUUUUGUUAGUUAUCCUUUUAUUUGUUAGUUUUCGUUUUAAUUUGAGUGGCUAUUUUUUUUAAUGAAACAAAAAGAGAUUUUCUAAUGUUACACAAAGGAACAAAUACACAGAGUUGUAUUUCUAUCGAGAAAUGCAGGGGAGGCAAAGAUUAGCAAAGCACGCCAUAUCGAGAAUUAUGCUUCAGAAUAUGAACAUCGUCGGUGGUGGAAUUGAGAUUUUCAAGAAAUGGCUUUAAAACAUGGACAAUGAAGCUUUGUAACUGCAACAAUGAACGCGUCCUUUCUCAAAAUUGGUGAAAAAGAAACAGUUUAACUGCCCAUCCAAGUGAUUGCAUACAAUUCUAAGGAAGACAUUCUAUCAUUUCUAUCGUUAACACAGUCACAUAGUACAAUAUGUGAAAUUCCUAACAUAGCAUGGAAUCGGAGUAUUUUAACUUUUGGAAUCAGCUUAAAAAAAUACUCACUACCAAGCAUAAAAAUUAUGCCUAGGACAUCAAAAUUGAUUUGAAGAAAAAGAGUCCAAGAGAAAGUGAUGAUUCCUCCAAGUCAAGUAUUAGGCUAAUUAAAGAUGCGAGAAAGCCAAGAUUAUUGAGAAUGAUUGGUGUCAUCAAAGGAUCGCAUAGUUGGAUCUUGAAUGUCUAGUCAUCUUAGUUCUUUAUUUUUGGCAGAAAUAUGCCUAAAAAAAAUCAUAACAUAUUAUCAAAAAGUUGGAAGUCAAGAUGUUUAACCUAGGAUAUAUCAAAAGUAGUCAAUAGAAAAAGAAAAUCAAUUUCUUAACAAUGAUAAACUUCUCCAAUUAUAUUUGUCUGUUCUAAUGGUGAAUCAGGUUUGGAACAAAAGUAGAUAUCAUUUUCAUUGGAAAAUCGUCUUGAGGUGAACUUGGAGUGAAAUUCUUUCUAAAAGUAGAUAUCAUUUUUCAUACAAUUUUGUUGGGCAUGGAUGUAUGGCGGUGGUGAUGUGAGAAAGUUAUUAUAGACAACUCGAGACAUACAUGUAUGAAAAUGAUUUAAUGAGGUACUAAUAUAACACACAAGCAAAAUAAUUGUCAUGCGAUUAUUGCACACACUCUUUAUGAAUAGUAAAAUCUCUCACUUACUAUUACAAUUUAUUUUCUUGCAUGACACAUAAAAACAAGUAUAGAGCAAACAAGCUCAUAUGAUCACGCACUCAACGGACAAGUUGCCUCUCCGCUUUUUCUCUUUAUUUGCGAAGCGUUCUCAACUUCUAUUUUGGGCCUUUCCAAUGCCCCUAUUUUUCUUUUUUUGACCGCUCAAACAUGUCAUUUCAUUUCAUUUCAUGUCAUUUCAUCUAUUUCAAAUUCAAUGCCUUGGUAGAUUGAAAAUUUUGGAUAUGCUACAUAUCGAUUCCUACCAAUCCCUCGUAAGACUCAACAUUUUGCAAUUAACACUUAUGGUGGAAUUACUAGUCACUGAAUGCAAAAAUAUAGUCGAAAUUAAAUGCCUUGAGAGAUUGAAAAAAUUGAGAAUUUUGAGUAUCCAAGGGCGUGAGUCCAUUGAAAUAUUACCGCACCUCUCGCUCUUCGAUAACCUCCUACAUUUGGGCAUAUUGGAGGGUGUUGGAAGUUUCAUGAUGUUUAGGGCCUGGAGAGGGUCAAAAAUGUGCUUAGAAUCUAAAAUGAGGGAUCAACUACAAGGCCUCAACAAAUUGUCCACACCUGUCGAAUUUCGGAGGUUUUACGGAAUAUGAUGGACAGGUCAAUUUCGGAUGAACUUUUGGAAAUCACAGAGCUCCAGAAAUCAAGGCGUCUAAAUUCUAGUAGACGUUCAGCAAUGCGACUUUGCUGGAAUAUCGUUCAUUGCGCUACUGCAGCAAAGAAACAAUCGGCUCAUGAAAAUAACGCUCCGACCUAUCAAGCGCUCUGGCCACGAUGUUGGAACGAUUCGCAUGUCCUUUCAAAGGUGAAUAAAAAACAGGUCACGCUAUUUAUUGUCGAGAUGUAUCGCCUAUUUCAUCAGCAUUUCCUCCUCUUGCGAAGCCGUCCACAAGCAUCCCCUCUAAGUUUCGAAUGACGCGGGCGAUUGCUCCUUUCACGGAGCUUUCGACGAAGGGAUUCAUCAAUGUUGACCUCUAAAGAUCCGACCUUUGGGGGGUUUCCAGUUCUUAGAAGAGGUGGGAGCGUCAAGGUCUGAUUUUUUUGCUUUGAAUUCCAUCUCCUGCAAUUGCCGAGAGAAGUUAGAGCUCCUUGUAGUGCUUGAGCUGGGUCGGGGGGUUUCUUUUGAAAGAAGGAGUUGUUACAAUAAGCCAAAAGAUGGCUACUACAAGCGCCAGAGAAGGCGGGUUUUCUGUGCUUUUGAGGAAUUGCGUUAGCUAUAUCUCUAUCCUGCUUAACCCCUGGGAAGAAACCUGAAUGUUUAGGGAUGGUUAAGCCCAUAUGUCUCGCGUCCAAGGACAAGAGAGAAGGAGAUGCUCUGUGCAUUCCGCCCGGUCUUUACACAGUGAGCGGUAAGGAUCCGGUACUAUUUUUUGCUUGCGUAAGUUCUCCAUUUUAGUGACGGAGACAAGAUUUGCACUUGGAGAUAGGUGUCAGAUAAUUUAUCACUUGUGAAGAUGAUAGUGGGCCAAAACCCAAGCCCAUGGGAGCUGAGACCAUUAUUGAAGACUGUAAAGAGAUGCUCGCCCGAUCCAGUAUGGUGGAAUCGGCAUCCGCCCCAAGGAAAUCAAACCCAUAGCAAGAAGGCUCUUCCUCACAAUUGGCUUAUAGUGCCACCAUCACCUCUAUGGGAUCUUUUAGGUGCAAAAACCCAUAACUUAUGUUAUCCUUUGAACUUUAUUGAAUGAAGUAAAUCGCUUUUCCAAAAAAAAAAAAAAGCCAAGUCAAACAAAAUUAAACUUUAGCAAUCAGAUUGAAGAGUACUGGAAACCAACUUUAAAAUUGCCCCGUUGUUAAACGUCAUAUGUAUCCAUUAUUUUUAAGAAUUUUUUUCCUAUGAAUAUAUAUAUUGGUCUGUUUCUAAGAAUAUAUUUAAACGCUUCUAUUUUACUCUUGUUUUGACUAAAUGCCGAGUUCACCUAAUUCAACUUGCUCCCAAACAUAAAUUACUAGGUAGAUCUAAUUAGACAUAAUAGUCACUUCGUUCUUCGACAGUUAAUUAUAUCAAGGUUAUACUUCAAAAACCAGUCAAAGCAAUGCUGUAUUUUCUUUAUAUCGAAUUGAUAUACUAUUUCAGGAGGGAGAGAUAUAUUAAAUUGAAGAUUUCCAAGUGAGAUUAUGCGAGAGGAGGAGAGAUGUCAAAAAGGAAAAUAACCAUCCUGAGUGCUACCCGGGUUUUCAGGAUACAAAUGUGAUUGAUCGAAUCAGUCAAUAACAACACAAUUAAUAACGAUUCGAAAUCUUGGGGAAAUACCGUUCUUUCUCCUCGUAUUUAUUUAAUCACCACCAAGUGACAGCUUGGAAGUUAGCCCAAAAGAAAGCAUCAAACAAAGACUUAAAUUGAUCAUGGUCAUGCAUAAUUUAGUACCGACUCUUUGCGGUAAAAAAUUGAUGGACGGCAAUAUGAGGUAAGUUUAGCUGAAUAAAAUAUUGAUGAACAUCAAUUUGAUGUCGCCAAGAAGUCCUUUCGGUGCCAACCUUGCAUUUUGUCUUCGUCGUUGUGAUAAAAGUAUGACAACUUUUGUUAAUUCUGAUAAAAAUAUGACAACCUUGCAUUAAAAUACGAGCGCACAAGAUUUCGUGUACGUAAAAGAUCGGAAGACAUACAUAAAAGAUUCAUUUCAAUUUUACCCCUUGAAAGACAUAACUUUGUAUAAUUAUCAAUUAAAUAAAGCUCAUGCACAAUUUCAUGGCGAGGAGACUACGAUGGCCGAAAACGAACUUUAUGUAAUCAUCAAUUGCAAGUGUUAAUAGUGAUUAAUAUCGUAUUAAAUUUAUGCCAUAUCUAUCUUUUCAGACAUGAUCUCUUCCGUUAAAUUAGAUCGAAUUUCUAGAACCAGGAGAUAAAACAAGGAAUGUAUGCUAAUAACUUGAUUCGUUAAGUUUUUUAGUAAUUUGUUAUUUGUUAAUUUUUACACGUGUAAUUUGUUUUUUAUUUGGUUAGCUUCUUUUUCUCUUUUUUUUCAGUGUGCUAUUUUCCAUAUGUAAGGGGAAAUUUUGGUAAAAGUUGGAACCUGAGUUAGGUUGGGCAUAUGAGUUGGAUCAAGUAUGGCCUGCAAACGUUGUGUUAGAUAAAAUAGAUUAAAAUGGAUUGAAUGAGUUAAUUUGAAUUAGAAACAUUUUUGACUUACCUCAAAUUGACCCAACCCAUUCGUUUGAUACGUUUAAUUAUAAGUAAGUGUUCAUCAACGAAUUCUCUCUAAUGGUUAGAGCAUCAAUAGUUUGCUUUUUGAUGGAGCUCAAAUAUUACUAACUUAGCUCCAAUUCGGAUAAUAUGUACAGCCACAUCAUUAAUGUGCUUAAGUAAUAGUAAUUUUUCUAUGCCUACUUUCAUGGCUUUUUUUGUAUUAAUAAUGUGUAAUUUGUUUAGGCCGUAAUGUGUUUAUUUUGGUCAUAACCUAUUUUUAUUAAAGAGACUUUUUGGCAGUUAUUCUUUUACAUGUUAGUUGCCUUAUAAUACGAGAGACAUUCUUUUUUUUAAGGAAACAAAAAAGUGACUGCUUGGGUUAUACAUAACUCUUUUAGUGAAAAAGAAACAAAUACACAAAUAGUUGCGUUUCUAGAGAGAUUGUAAUUUUCCUCAAAUGCUCAUACCUUUGGGAAUACUCAAAGAGUUGCCAGUAGAUAACAUUCAUAUAAGAGAAUGAGAUAGUAAUUCUCUGCAAGUGCUCGUGACAUCGGGGCGUUCUUGUAAUUGUAGCUAUCGAAGCGUCCUGUUUCAAAAACCUGUGAAUAAUAGCUAUAAUAGUUGAUACCAUGCUUUUUAAUAGUUGAUAACAUGCUUUUUCUGUUCUCAAUUUGGCCAAAGAAAACUCCAUUGCAAGCUUACCACUACGUGGAAUUGGUACUAUUACAAAUCAGGGGAUCAGUGUGAGUAUCCAACUUUGAUUUGUAACGCUCUGCUUCAACUUCUGCUACCUUCAUCCUGCUUGAGAUGCCAUACUAUUUUCCAAAUUCUACAAACUUGGAUCCCGAUAAGUCCCUUCCUGAAAAUAUUGAUCUAUGUAUAUCGUAGUCGUUAGCAUAAUCUGCAUCACAAAGAUCAAUUAUCUCAUUAUCUUUUCCCCCUUCAAGCUGACAUGUACUUAUUUAUAUCUGCUAGAUCGAUUUUGUUUAUGAUAUAUUUUUUUUGUUGCUUGGUCCACUGAAGAUUACCAAACAUGAAAUUUCUGUACAUGCAACUUUUCCUUUUUAUUUUGUUUUCUUAUUUAUUUGAUUUUAUCAUUUAAAACACAAGUAGAUGGAUUUUUAACGAAAUUGUCAGUAAGGCCAACGAAAAAAUGUGUAGGAUGUCACCGUCGCCAGUAUAUAUUAUGCAUAAAGAAUUGCGUAUUCUUUGUUCAAUGUCAGGAAAAAAAAAGGAAAGGGAAAAAAAAACAUUAGUGAGGAAAAUUCUGGGAAAAUACGGAAUGCACAAAAAUCAACUGUAGAUGGGGAAAUCAUGUUACGCGUCACCUUACCUUUUUAUAAGUCCACUGAUUAUGUUAAGAAAAAGAUAGCGGAAAAAGCUUUAUUGAAGAAGGUGGAUAUGAUUAAUGCCUAAUGGUUGCGAAAUAUUGAUUGUUCUAAAUCAAUUAGCCAUCUGGUAAAUUUGUCUACCCUUAACUUGAGAGAUUGCUUCAACUCAUAUAGACUUUAAGAGAGUUGGAUACCUCACAAAAUUGCACGGCAUGUCAUUUGGCAGAACGAGAUUUCCAAAUGCUAUUGGUUAUGCCUGAGUUGAUUAUGUCCCUAUCAUAUCCCAGAUUAGAUUUGAGAAAGUUGGAAUGGUUAACUAAAUUGAACUUGUUAUGGACACGCCAAUUGAAAAUUACCUGAAUUUAUUGGGGAUUUGAAAAACUUGAUAAUUUUGAACAUCGCUAAAAGUGAGAAAAUGACUAAUUUACUAUUACUAUUAGCAAGUUGGGCACACUCGAAGAAUUACAUGCCACAGAGCGAGGAUUGAGGAACAUAAUUAAACAUUUUCAUUAUAAUAAGUUGCUUGAUUUACCAAUUGCAAAACCAAUAAUACUAAGAACAUUUGGGCCAAAAGCUAAAGUGAUGAGGUAGCAACGUGAACGUCCCGUAAUUUACUUUGUUGUUUAUGUUCUUUAUUAAAGUUCAUAAGUUAAAAAAAUGCAAAUUGUUGAUGUUCUUGCACAAAAACCGAAACCUUAAUUUCUUAGAGCUUAGAACGUAGCUUAUAAAAAUCAAAUGUCUUGCGUAUAAAUAUAAUGAUAGAUAUAAUGAAUCUAUCUAGUAUGUAAAGGGGUUUUUCCAAAAGAUUUUCAAUGGUGACUGUCACGAGCCACUUUCCAUGAGUAACAUCUAUUUUAACUUUCUUUUGAAAAAAAGAUUCUUUCAUUUUUCUACUUUAAUUGAACUAUAAUUUUCCUAGAAUAAUCACUUUUAAUAUUACGAGUAUCUCUUAUUCUCACGUUGAUUCAAUGUACUUGUAGAAUAAUUAUUUCCAAUAAUCUAUUCCACAAGUCUUUUUCCCAUGUGUAGCACGGAUCUAUAGGCUAGUAUAAUAGUAAUAUAAGUAUAGACCGUUUAAUUUUCCUAAAAGACAACAGUAUGAACGCUAAACGUUCCUGCCUUGCCAACCCACACGAUCAGCUCAUGUGUUUUGGCUGCAUUUAGCACCAGGAUAUAACCGCCGCCAGAUAAUCCAGUAGGGAGCAGACGUCGAGGGAGCGGACUGAGGAUCACAAGACGACAACGACCGAGAAAUUAAAUUGAUCUGAUUCAAAUUGAAGAAUUUUACUUUCAUCAUGACUAUAGGGACCCAUUUUGAAAUUGCCCCUUCUGAAAUUCUAUAUGCAUGCUUCAUUUCUAACAAAAUCUUGGAACACUUCUAUUUUUACUAUCUGUUCUGACUAAAUGCCGAAUUUACCCAACUCAAUAGAUUACUGAGGACGUAACGGCAACUUCAUUCUUCCUCAGUUAUAUAUAUUGAGAUGAUACUUCAACGGUUAAUCAGGACGAUAUUAUACAUUCCACAUAUCGGUUAGAGAUACAAUUUUGCGAGAGAAAAGAGCCAUGUAAAAUUGAAGACUUUAAAGUGAGAUUUUGCGGGAGGAAGAGAGAUGUCAAAAAGGAAAUGACCCUGCUGGGAGCUAGCUCGGGUUUCCUGGAAUAAAUGGGAUCAAUCGAAUCAGUCAACAGAAACACAAAUAAUGACGAUGCAAAUUCCUUGAAAGAUGCCGUUCUUCUACUUGGAAAUUAUUUAAUGGCCACCGAACGUCACUUGGAAGUUAGCCCAAAAGAAAACAUUAAAGAAAGACUUCAAUUAGUCACGGUCAUACAUAAAUUCAGUACCUACUCUUUAGGGUAUAAAAUUGAUGGACGUCAAUUUGAUGUCGCCGGGAAGUCCUUUUCGUGCCAACUCUGCAAUUUUUCUUCGUUGUCGUGAUUAAUAUACGAGAUAAGAACCUACUCAUGGAAGUUAGCCCAAAAGAAAACACUAAAGGAAUACUCCAAUUGGUCAUGGUCAUACAUGACUUCAGUACCUACUCUUUAGGAUAUAAAAUUGAUGGACGUUAAUUUGAUGACGCUAGGAAGUCCUUUUCGUGCCAACUCUACAGUUUUUCUUCACCGUUGCGAUUAAUAUAUAUGAUGAGGACUUACUCUUGCAAGUUAGCCCAAAAGAAAACAUUAAACAAAGACCCCGGUCGGUCGUCGUAACUUCACCACCUACUCUUUGGAAUAAAAAAAUUUGAUGUGUCAAUUUGAUGAAACUUGCAACUUCAGCUUGAUAAAAUAUUAAUGGAAGUCAACAUGAGCAUAUACUCGAGACAUCAAGUGACUUGAAAGAAAUUCAUGUACUCGUACCAUAUUACCUGCCAUAAACUUAUGGAUAAACAAAUCCAUUAAGAUUUUAUUUUCUUAUUUCAAACUUUAUCACUUUAUUUUAACUAAAAGUAAUUAACUCACUUCUUCACACACAAACUCGAAAAAUUUUGAGAUCAACUUACUCCAAUAUCUAUAUUGCUUUAAAAUUAGGAAUCUAGCACCAUUGCCCAUCUCCCAUCGCCUACUUGUCUCUCCCUCCCCCAAUUCUCUCCCCAUUUGGUUUCUAGAUUUUGCUGAUGUGGCUCUAGACAACCCAAUCAGGCUAGCGAUGGCAGGUCUCACGAUGGAGAUGAAUUAUCACAUUAGGGGCCAACAUGACUAAGUUGAUUAGAGGAAUUAAAUUGAUCUAAUUCAAUGAAUAAAUAGCGAAAUUAAACAAAAUCAAAGUUUCAGCCAUCAAAUUGAACUUUCAUCAAGAAUAUUGGUGACCAAUGGUGAAAUUGUCCCUUUUUUAUACGCCAUAUGCAUCUAUUAUUUUCAAGAAAAUCUUUGAACCCUUAUAUUCUACUAUUGUUUUGACUAAAUGCGGGGUUCACCUAACUUAACUUACUCCCAAACAUAAAUUACUAAGUUAUAUCUAAUUAGACAUAAUAGUCACUUCAUCGAUCAAUCAGAGCAAUACUUUAUUUUCUUAAUCAAUUUGAGGUACUAUUUCACAAAAUAAAAAAGAUAUUGAAUUGAAGAAUUUAAGGCAAGGUUUGCGAGAGGAGAGAUUUCAAAAAGGAAAUGAUGUUGCUAUUAAGGGUGUGCAAAAUAAUCGGGACCCGCUUGGACUGCUUGGAACCAAACCGGAAUCGCUUAGAACCCGUGGUUCUUGAGGGAACUGGUCUGGUUCUCGGUUCCAAUUAAUGGAAACCGGUGGGUACCGUUCCGGCUUCCGGUUCCAUAGGCAAAUCCUUCCACUUGGAUCGGACCGAUUAUAUUAUAAUAAUAUAUUAAUUUUUAAUAUUAAAAUAAAUUUCAAAAUUACUAAUUAGCAAAUCUAAAUUUUAGGGCUCCAUCUCCUCUCGUGGUUUCCAUGUUUUUAUAAGAAUUUAGUAAAGUGUAUAAGCUGCUUUUCAGCAACUCAACAAAUGGCUUCUUCAAAGGAUAUUUUCAGGACGCACAUAGGACAGUGUAUUCAAGAAUAUGUGGAGUACCGAUGAAAUUGUUUCUACCAAAAUAAUUCAGUAAAGCAAAUGUUGUAAGAGAUUGAACAUUGUUAGGGGAUAAAGGAAAAGACUAUUUACAUAUAACAAUUAUCCAAAACUUUGAACUUAAAAAAUACUUUAGAUUCCAACUGAAAUGAUUCAAAAAUAGGAAAAAGCCUAUUUCUCUUAUUUGGUAGUGUUUUCCAAUAAAAUAAAAUAAAAUAAAAAAUGGUACCUUUAAUUAAGUUAGUUCGAGUUAAAGAAAAAUAUAACUCGAUAUGAAAAGUACUCUCGGCAGGAUUUGGAAAAUAAUAUUAUUGUUGGUGAGGCCGGUUCCAUGGAUCCACUUGGAAACCAAAUCAGAUCGACGGUUCGAUUUUUGGAUGAAUCCAUAUAACUAGCAGGCGAUUUCCGGUUCCAAUUUUUUGGAAUUAGUCCUUAGCGAGCGGUUCCCAAUUCUAAAUUGGAAACCGCCUACCAGACCAUGCAAACCCCUAGCUGCUACCGCUUGUGCUGAGUGCUCACCUGGAUUUCAAGGAUACAAUUGUGACUGAUCAAAUCAGUCAACAAAAACACAAAUGAUGAAGAUUCGAAAUCCCAAUUUACCAAAAAAGAAAAAAAUCCAGGAAGAUACAGUUCUUUCUUUUGGUAAUUAUUUAAUGGCCACCGAACGACAGCUGGAAGUUUGCUCAAAAGAAAACAUUAGACAAAGACUUCAACGGGUGACACGUAAUUUUUAGUACCUGCUCUUUGGAAUAAAAAAAUUAAUAGGUGUCAAUUUGAUGAAACUUGUAACUUUAGCUGGAUAAAAUAUUAAUGGACGUCAAUUUGAUGUAACUUUAGCGGGAUAAAAGUAGAUUAAAGUCAAUUUGAUGCAACUUUAGCGGAAUAAAAAGCAGAUUAAAGUCAAUUUGAUGUCGCUGCGCAGGUCCUUUUCUUGCCAACUCUGCAGUUUGUCUUCAUCAUCGUUAUUAAAAUAUGAUGAGAACCAACUUCAAAAUUCUUGCCAACUUGCCGACCAAGUUGCGUUAAUUUUGAAUAUAGUGCAUGAAACCCACCUAAUUUUGCCUUUUGUCUAAACAAACUGAGAAAAUUCAUUUCCUUCUUUUCCGAGUACAUUAAAAUAAUGUCAGACCAGAUUUAACAUGUGAAUGACAUACAUAAAAGAUUGGAAGACAGCCAUAAAAGAAUCAUUUCAAUUUUACCCCUUGAAAGGCAUAACUUUGGAUGAUUAUCAUUUAAAUAAAGUACGUGUAAGAUGGUGAUUUUCCUCAAAUGCCCAUACCUUUGGGAAUACUAAUGUUUACUAAUUUUACCAAUGAAAGCAUGGUUUUUGUCAAUGGGCUCGUACUAACGAGGGAUCUUUCUAUAGCUAGUAGAAUAACAUUUGUAUAUGAGAAUGAGUGCCAGUCAUCUAGGCUUCCAUCAUCAGUAACUUUUUAUGAAUGAUAAUUUUUCUCUAGUGCUUGAGACUUUGAAGGAACUUAUUCUUAACGAAGGAUUGUAGUUUUCCCAGGAUGUUCCUAACUGGACCACCUAAGCAAGUAGCUUAUAGAAUGCAUCUGAAAGUGCACAGCUUCCUCUCUUAAUCAAACAGCUAACAUGCUCGUCGAAUCCCGUUCCAUUUCCGUUGCCUAGGGACCUUAGAAGGACGCCUUUUGCAGGUAGCGGUUAUUAGCAGAGGAAGGCAAAGAUUGGCAGAACACACUACUUCACGCAAACCACUUCGGGAUCCAGAUAUUCACAUUGGAGUAACUGGGACUUUCCAAAAUUGGCUUAACUCAUAGCGAAUGAAGCUUUGAAACAGCAACUAUAAACGGAUCCUAUUUCAAAAUCUGUCAAAAGCUGUUUAUACUAUUUGAUACCGUGCUUUUUCUACUCUCUAUUUUGGCCGAUGAAAACUUCAUUUCGUGCCUCCCACUAUGUCGGUUCGGUACUAUUACAAGUCAGGUGACACCAGUGCGAGUAUCCAUCUUUGAUUUCUAAUGCAGCUUGUUUGUGAUGCCUAACUAUUUUGAAAUUCUGCCAGCUUGGAUCUUGAUAUGUCCCUCCAUGAAAUUAUCAUCAACUUGUUAAUUUGUUUUGGUGAACUUCAUUUCAAUCUCUCCACCCACUACUUUCUCACCCACAAAGUGACAGUGGACUUCCAUGUACUUCGUUCUCAUAUGAAUCACUCAGUUCUCUACUAGUCGAAUCGCCAAUUGAUCGUCAUUGUAUAGUCUCACGAGGCACUCAUUAAUUUUCUAGUGCAAAUCCUUCAGCAAUUGCGCUAACCAGGGGUGCUUUUGAGCUGCCACGGAUACAGCUCGAUGCUCGGCUUCAGUUGUCGACAACGACACAAUCGGCUGUCUUUUGACGCACCAAGAGGUGACUCUCGAACCAAGGCUAAACAAAUGGCCUGUCGUCGAUCUUACGCGUGACAUAAUCACCGGUAUUAUCGGCGUCACAUUAGCCAGUUAUCGGCACGCACUUACUUCUGUACAGCUAGAUCAAUUUUGUUUAUGAUAUGUAAUUUUGUCGCUUGCUCCACUGAAGAUUAUCAAUCAAUAAUAUUUGUAUAUGCAUCCUCCCUUUUUUUGUUUUGUUUUCUUUUCUUGUUUAAAAUUUAUUAUUAUUAUUUUUAAAACUCAAGUAGGUGGAUUCUUCACGAAGAUGUCGAUAAGGCCACCCGAAAAUCAGAUCGGUGGGAUGUCAUUGUCGCCGAUGUACAUAAUGCAUAUAUCGAGCGAUUGGGAACGCACUAAGGACUUUCAUCGUCCCUUGUCAAUGUCAGGGAAAGCCAUAGAAGUUCAAAAAAAGAAAAAGGAAGUAAAAAACAAUAGUAAGGAAAUUUCGAGGAAAAACAAGGAGCCCGCAGAAAGCAAUCCGAGUCCGCGAGAUUACGAGAUGCGUCUCCUCACCUGUUUAUACUUUAUAGGUCGAUUGAUCAUGGAAUAAGAAAAAAGAAAAAAAAGAAAAAGAAGUUGUUCCUUUUUGGUCAAAAAAAUUCCUUUGAAGUUGUAAAUGCUCGAUACCUUCAAUUGCAAAUUGAAAUAAGAAUACCAUGAUUAUCUUAAUUUUCUUAUGAUGCUCACUUUAAUAACAUAAUUAUUUUCUCAAUUACUUAAGUAUCAUUCACAUGAAAGAUUGAUUGCUUUAGUUGGCAAUUCGUGUAGCUGAAAAAUCCGAUGUAAUACUAUUUUAUUAUAAAUUGUUGGACGUGGCUUGCUGAUAAAGUGAAUCAGCAACAAUAGUACUGAAAUAUGUUGUCCAUGUGUGUUAUUUGCCCACCAAUUAAUGAACUGGGGCUAAAUUUAUUUUCUUCUUCAAACCCUAAACUUGUUGCGUUCUUCAACUGAGAAAGUGAAGCAAAUUUUGGUGCUGAAAUUUGCGAUGGAGAGCAGGAGCAGAAUGAANNNNNNNNNNNNNNNNNNNNNNNNNNNNNNNNNNNNNNNNNNNNNNNNNNNNNNNNNNNNNNNNNNNNNNNNNNNNNNNNNNNNNNNNNNNNNNNNNNNNCAACAUAGUUAUCAGAACGAAUCGAUUGGUGCAAUCAGGCUUCUUUUGAGUCGAAUAGUCGUCAAUGCGUCCUCGGCCCUCUCUUGAUUGAUAUUUAUCUUAACUUUCUUCUGUAAAGAUUUCCCUUUCAUUUUUCCACCUUCAUUGAACCUAAAAAUUUUCCCUUUUAGUUCAUGGGGCAUGUAGUUACUUCUAAUGUGACGAAAGUCUCUUACUCUCAUGAUGAUCAAGACUCCUAGAAGAAUUAUUUCAUGCAAUCUAUUUCACAGGGUCUUUUUCCUGUGUAUAGCACAAGUCCAUAGGCCAGUAUAAUGGUAAUGUAAUUGAAGCGGCAAUAUAGCUACCACGUCCUUUUCUUUCUUUCUUUUGUGUCCUUUUUUGGAUAUCAUAUUAAAUUUGUGGCCAAAAAAGACUAAUACAAUUUAAACCAUAAACGAUCCUCCAUCUGUAGCACGGGCUAACUAAAUUGCUGGUGUAUAUUUAAGAAUAAAAUCAGCUUAUGUCCGUGACUCCCAUUCACCGGUUGAUGCCUUGAAGGCAACGACUAAGUCCAGGUCAAUAACCCACUUUAUUUUAUCUAAUGACAUCAAUUAUAUCAGUUCAUAGUAAUUAUUUCAUGAUAAAUAUAAGUGCCUCUCCCAAUUUUGUCGGGAUUUGGUCAGCGACCGCAUUCGCAGUUUUUGCUAAGCAGUCAAAUGAGGAAGGUUUACAUUUUCCAUCAACUGUUCAUGUGUCAUGCACCAUAAAUAAUCUGAAAUCACUCCAAAUUAAAUAUGCUUGAUCGGUGCCUUCGUGACAUUAUUUUGACGUGUUCACUAUUUAAUUAUUAACAUCCGAAAGGAUUCAGUAACAAAUGGAACUUCUUGCUUCGACUGAGGAUGUUGAUGUAGGGGAGUCUUAAGGUGUGUUUGAUAACCAUUUUAUUUCUAAUAAUAAUUUCUAUUCAGAAAUGAUUAUUCUUUUAUUCUAUUAUCUGAGUUUUCAAGCAUUUGAAAGCAUUUGAUAAUUGCCCAAAUUUCUAUAUCUAGAAUAGAAAUGCAUGGUACGAAUUUUAAAUUUUUUUAGGACUUUGAAUUUCUUUUAAUUUUGUAAUGCUUUUAUAUAUUUUUCUCUUUUAAUUUUUGAUAAAUUUAUUUUGUUUUUAAAUUAUCCAAUCGUAUAUAUUUUUAAUUUCAUUAUAUCAUUUUAUCAUAUUUUUAAUAUAAUUUUAUGUUAUAAUUUUAUUGUAUUUUUCCAAAAUAUCUUUAAUUUUUUAAUAAUUUAUUAUAUUUUUGGGAUCGACUAAAGAAAAAAAAAACAUGAUUUAGCUUGAUUUUAGAGUUGUUCCCACGAAUAAAAGAAAUAACUUUUUUUUUACUUCUUGAUCCCAUUUCAAAUUUAUUUUCAGAAAAAAAAUACCAAAUAAAUAUCUGUUCUUUUUUUAUUUCAAGAAAAGAAAAGAACUAAGCACUAUUUGAAAUGUUAUCAAAUUGGCCAUUAAAAACCGUUUCGUUAAUCAAAAUGUGAAACGAACUCUGACGUUAGACUCUUUACUCAUGCCGAACGAGUCAUGCGUCACCUGUGACUGCACAGUUCCACUCCCGAAUUUCCGGUUUUGGCCCAGAAAUAAUUCGGAAAAUCGAAAAAAAUAAUAAAAAAAAAAUACUAGGAUGGUCCCACGAAUACGUCGCAGUGGGGGUGGGGAAUCCGUCGUGGGUACGGCUUCGGGAAAAAAGAAGAAUUGAUGUUUACCCACUCCAUCCUUUUGAUUUCUCACGCGUUUUAAUUCACUUAAAAUUAAUCAGAUCAUGAACAAAAAUGGAAGCGGAUACGUAGCCCGAGUUUGAUUUUGAAUCCAUAGUUCGAGACGCAUUUAAUAAAUUCUAGAUGAACAUCCUUAAAAGGGGUGAGGAUCAAUAAUAAUUUUUAAAAUAAUAAAUUCUAUGUUAAAUAGAGAAUACAAAUGUUAAAAAGAAAAAGAAAAGAAAAAUCCUGUAAAUUAACGUAGAAGUGCGACAUGUGACUCAAAUUUGUCUAAAUAAUGGAUGCCGAUCGACAUAUCUUUCACUAUCUUUCAUGUGAUAAUGCAAGGAACCGACUUUAUCCGAUGGUGGGUCGAAGAAAUUUAAUUUUGUUCCCUACCAAUGGCAAUGAUAUAACAGGGCUGUUUUAUCUUCUUCUUUUUUUAGAAUGCUCAUGUGUGAUGAAAGUUCAUUCACUAAAGUAAAAAUCCCACUCCCAUAAGAGCAUGUUGCAUCCAUAUCCAUUUAACACAACAGUACAAAUGCUGCAAUGACCAAAUAAGAUUCUGCACUACAUAUGAACAGUUAAUAGGAAAUGUAAAUUUCUCUCGAUUGAUUGCUUAGCAAGUACACUUAAUGCGGUCCCUGAAGAAAUCCUAACAAUGUUGGGAGAGGCACGUAUAUGAAGAGUAACGUCCAAUUUGGGACAUAAUUCAUGAGUUGGAGGAUACAUUCGAGCGCAAUUCUCAACUCACGACAAAAUUGGAGACUCCUGGGAGCCAAUGGAAACAAUGGGGAAGGUUGUCAAGGCCAAUUGAGGACCACAGGAUGGCAAGGACUGAGUUGCUUUUAGUCAAAUUUGAAGUUAUCUCCAGAUUCCACGUGUGAACGUAUGAAAUACAUGAAACCACCAACGUACCGUGAGAGAUUAAAAUAUACAUAAUAGUCGAGUAAUCAUGCCUUGCCUCCUGCUUUUCCUUCUUCCUCUUUUCUUGCCCCGCUAUAAGUGUGGCGCAGAGAUAGCCCAGAAAUUAUUCCCUGCUCAAACCCAUCCAUAAUAGUCGCGUCUCUGAGAGAGAGAGAGAGAGAGAGAGAGAGAGAGAGCGUGCACUGCAAUGGAAGAUGGGAAACGCAAGCCAUAUGCUGAAGCUUCGAGUUCGACCAUUUCGAUGGGACAAAGACCAUCGGAUGAGCGCGAGAGCGGAUCGCCUCUUCCGGACUCACCGGAGAAGAUCAAUGAGCCGUCAGAGUCCGAAGCGAAUUCUGGGCCUUCUGCUUCGUACGCCUCUGUUAUCGGAAACAAUUAUUACGUAUUCUUGAGUUUUAGAGGUCCUGAUACUCGCAAAGGCUUCGUUGAUCAUCUCUACCAUGAACUUGUACGAGUGGGCCUGCACCUUCCAAAUUUCGUGUUCAGAGAUGAUGAGAACCUCGACCUUGGCGAGCCAAUUGAAAUGCUUCUCAGUGCAAUCAAGUGCUCUAAAGUUUCAAUCCCAGUUAUCUCAGAAACUUAUGCUGCUAGUCAAUGGUGUCUCCGCGAGAUCAUUCAGAUAAUGGAGUGCGUGAAAAGUUGACAACAAAAAGUCUAUCCUGUGCUUUACAAGGUGACACCCGGUGAUGUGCGAGACAUGAAGGGGAAAUUUGGAGAUGCCUUCCGAUGCCGCAAGCAUGAAUUUGACAAAGAGGUCAAGCGAAAAGGGCCGGUAGCUCUCAGAGAAUUAGUCAAUUCUAAAGUAAUCGAAUCAGAGAAAGAAUAUAGUGGGUACGUCGUUUACCUUGUUUUAACAUAUCCUUGUCGGAAGAAUAACUUUUCUAUUUAUCAUUCUUAAUCUUUAUUUCGUGGAGCCAUUAAUGGGUUCUCACCUGAUUGUGUUGUUUGACAGGCACGAAGGAAAAUUAGUAAAAGAGCUCGUAAAAAAAAUAAUGAGCAACCAUCAACAUCAUUUUCUACCAUCUCUUCCUCAGGACUUGAUUGGUAUUGAUGAACAUGUGGCUAGGGUUAUGAAUUUGGCAGAUAGUGGAACUAUGAAAUUCGCCAAUACUGCUUCUUCCGAAGCUCAAGUUAUUGUGAUUUAUGGAAUCGGUGGCAUCGGUAAGACAACUUUGGCUACGACCAUCUAUAAAAUGCUUUCUAACCAAUUUGAGUACCGUAACUUUCUCAAUGAUAUUAGAGAAACAAUUAAAAGCAAGGGUAUGAAGCAUGUCCAAUCUCUACAUAUAUCAAAUUUAACAAAAACAAAAGUGGCCAAAGUGAGCAUGACUCUAGGAUUGAAAUGAUCCGAUUUAUUUGUGAGAAAAAGAAGGUACUUGUUUUACUUGAUGAUGUGGAUCGUCGAGACCAUCUUGAUAAUUUCAUUGGAGGUUGUAAUUUCGAGUCAGGAAGUUGGAUUAUAAUUACAUGUCGAGAUAAGGCCCUCUUGAAGUCUGAAUUUAAAGAGUAUAAACUCAAAGAAAUGAAUCCCAAAGACUCUUUGAAUCUGUUCAGCAGACAUGCGUUCAAACGGGGACAACCUUCGACAGAACUCGCGGCUCUUUCUAGUGAUAUUGUUGCCACCACAGGAGGGCUUCCCUUAGCUCUCGUGAUUAUAGGUUCAUUUCUAGAAGGAAAAGAUCAAAGCACAUGGACAGAGACAUUGGGGAAAUUGAGGAAGGUGCCUCAUAUGGAUGUACAACAAAAGUUGAGGAUAAGUUAUGAUUCAUUAGAAUAUGAGGAACAACAAAUGUUUCUAGACAUAGCAUGCCUUUUUAUUGGAAUUAACAAAAGAUUUGCCACCUAUUUAUGGGAGGAUCUCCAAUAUUAUGUAGAUUCCGGAUUGGAAAGAAUGAUUGAACUUUCGUUAAUGAAAAUUGAUGAAAACAAUGAGUUGAGAAUGCAUGAUCAAUUACGAGAUUUAGGCAGAGCUAUCGCUUGUCCAGCAAAUAAGAAGGCUUGGAAAUGUAGCAGACUAUGGGAUGAGAAGGCCACAAUAGUUCAACGAAGCAAGGUAACAAUCAUGUCUACUAUUGGUCUCUCCCAUGUUCUCUAAUGGUAGUCCCUCAUAUUAUUAUUCUUAUUGUUAUUUUACUCUAGAUCUCUGACCAGGGUCAACACGUUCUUAGCAUUUUCUUGGUAAAAGCUACAUCCAAUUUUGGCCUUUAGUUCAUGAAAAGGUUUGCAGUCGUGACUAUUCCACAGCUCAUCUCUUGAUGCAUAAAAAAAGGCGCUGAAAAGGGGUAUUAAAAUUGUGUAUUAUUAGCUCUGUCUAUAUUGCUCUUUGGCUGUCUUAACAUCAUUUUCUAGUAGUUUCGCACUGCUUCAGUGCUUCUACAUUACUAGUUGAAGAUCCUAGCAUCACCAGGUUUGGAGAUUUACUUAUUCAAAUAUAACUAUUGGCAAUGACUCGAGAAUUUAUUUAAUUCAAAGUAGUAAGAUCUUAUGUAGUGAUUUUAUAUGUAUAAAUAAUUUAUACAAUUUUUUUUUCUAGAAUUUCUUAUGCAUGUUUGCAACGGAAAUGCAAUAUGAUGAUGUAAAUGCACGACAGAAAGAAAAUAAAAAAAUUGGUUUUAAUUGUAUUACCCAGGUAAUGUUAUCAUCAUAAUUGAAGAAGCACCUUGAAAUCUAUCAAUUUUUUUUUUUAAAAUAAUCUAGAAACGUAUAAAUAUGUUAUUAACAUAAUUGCUUAGUUGCUAACUUGAAACAGCACUUCAUAGUCGGAUGACCCUCACUCUAUAAUUAAUAAAAGGUAAGAAUUUAUCGUCACUUAUAGGACUAAUACACAUUAACAAUUCAAAUUAAAAUUUUCAAUUGCAAAUUUAGAUUUUGUUUUAUUGUCAUUUAGACCAAGUUAUAAUCAAAUUAAUAAAUUAGAUAAUAUAAUGUUGGAAGACUGUUCAAGAUACAUUAAUUAUAGAGUAAGUGGCAUAAUUAAGGUAUCUGGUUUAUUUAUGAGCUUUGCGUGCGUCGAUGGAUCAAUCAUGUUUAUUCAUAUGAAAGGUGAAAACUAACAGUAUUUUGACUCGCGAUGCAAUAACAUAAGGCUAAUUUACCCUGCUUUGUAUUAUGUGCUGGUGUUUGUACCCGUGUUGUGCACGGAUCUAGUCAUAGGUAUGUUAAGCAUGUAAUUAGGCAUCAAUGAAUACUGUGCAAAAUCACAUAACAGUAAAUUAUGACCAAAAUAAACUAAGUAACAUUUGAAAUAUGAUUUCGCAUGUCUAUAGAGAGUAAUUUUCGAUGAAAAAUUGAAAAGUAAAGACCAAAAUUAAGAAAAUAAACGACUAAAUGAAGUAAGUACCGCAAUGGUGGAAGUUGAAAGAAACUAUAUAUGCUAAUCAUCUACCAUUUAUCUGCAUUUAGUGUAGUUCUUUUUUUUUUUUUAAAGCUACAUUUAGUUUGUUCAAUAUCCACCUUUAUUAGGUAAGGAGAGAGCCUUUCUUCAUAAGUACUAAAUAGAGCCUUUAAUGCGCUGACACAUGGACAAAGACAUGGUCUAAAAAAUUUACUUUUGUUAGAUAUUAGAUGUUCGAUUUGAUAUGAAUAUAGGAGCGAAGAGAAAGACAGAUAUUUAAUUCAUCAAAUAAGAAAACCGGGAGAGAAAAUAAGAAAUGAGAGGAUGCGAAAAGAGGACAAUAAUAAUAAUGAUUGCAAACCUAGUAUACCAAUUCAUAGAUUUUUGUACGAACAGGUAAUUGCACAAAUGCGCUAACAAAUUCAUAAUAUCAGGAUGGCAAACCGGCUCCAAAAGCAUCUUUUUUUUACUAUAGCAAAGAUUGACUAAAUCAAAGAGCAAAGGAAAUACAUGCAGAUAUCUGACGUUUAUUAAAGUAUAAAAUGGUCAGAAUUAUUUAAUUUUAAUCUCACUCUAUUCCAUGAGACAAUAAUUUUGGUUUUGCAAUCAUGCGUACUAGAAUUCACUAUGCUAUUUCGCAUGCAAAAAGGAUGAGAGAAGCAAUAGAUCUUUUUCAUUGUUGGCUCUUUGCAAAUCAUGUAACAAAAAUUCAAAUGGCACUAUGAUAUAAGUAAGAAAAGCAGAACUGUUGGGAUGAAAAUAGAUAAUCUGACAGAUGGAAGACUACCUGCUUGAUAUCAUUCAAUUGGCACAAAUUGAAUGGGGGCUGAUUGACUAGUGCGCUCAUCUUAGAAUUAGUGUUGAUCUUUUCGAGCUUGAAUAAAUUGAAAAGUCAAGUUCAACUUCUCUUCCUCUAUUUCUUUUUACUCUAGCAAUCCGUAAAUUUCCCAAAACUUUUGGUCACGCAAUAUGCAAAUAACGAGAUAAUUGGGGAAAGAGAGACACCCUAUGGAAUUGGAAAGGGGUAUAUAAAGAAAGGACAAUACCUAAAGGUAAAGAGAAAGACUAAUGAAAUUCCCAAUAUAGAUGCACAUCGUUAAUGUGCUUGGGUAACAGUAACUUUCCUUUAACCUACUUUUAUAGGCUUUCGUGCACUAAAUAAUGUGUAUUUUUAUUGGAAGUAAUGUGUUUUUGUUUAUUAAUAACCGAUUUUUAAUAGAGUUUUUGUCAAUUAUUCUUUUCCUAGUUGCAUUUUAAUUUGAAAGUCUUAAUUCUUUUUUCAAUAAAACGAAAAGACAAUGCUUGGAUUGCACAAAAACCGUCUAUUGAAAAAGAAAUAAACAUACAAAAAUUUGUGCUUGUAGAGGAAAAAAUGACCAAACACUUGUUUCCAUUCAGUAGACCCGUCAAAAUUAGUCAUAAACUCAUUUAUUUAACCCAUAUGAGUGUUGAAUGAGUCAUAAAUAUGUUAUAAUAUACAGUAAAUAAGUCAUAAAUGAAUUAAGUACAAUACGAGUGUUAAAUAGGUAAUAUAUGAGUUAUAAAUGGGCUUACAAUUUAUUUAGAUCCAAUCCACUCCUAUAAAUCUCUCUUCAUUCUCUCUCACCCUUUGUUCAUUGCGCACUCUCACCUCAAUUUGGAUAUGGGUUUUUGUGGAUUAAUUUAAAUAUGGAAGUGUUUUAGUAAUAUGGAUUAGGUCGGGUAUGCGUCAAUAAAUUUACAUUAUGAGUAAAUAGGUUUAUUGAUCAAUUUGGAUAAGAUCAUUUAUUACCUGAUCCAAUCCACCCGUUUCAGGUCUACCAUUCAACCAAAUGCCAAAAUUAAUAUUUCAUGAAUAGGGAGCAAAUAAGUUGUCAUGCUUUAUGAAAGCAUAAUGCUAGUAAUAAACCCAAUUAGGUAUGUGGUUCUCACAUAUUGCAAAGGGACACCAUUUAUAAUUUGGUGGAGCAAAUACUUGGUAGUCAAUGCUACGGGUGUUACAGAAUUUAAUUUUAAAAAAUAUAAGAAAUCUAGACUAUUUUCUUGUAGAAAUUUCCCAUGAAAUCACCAAAAUUUGUGGCACACAAGUAAAAAUUGACAUAUCACACGAUUGUGUAGUUAUAAGACCACAUAUACUCUAUAAGUGUAGAGAAAAGGCAUUGGCCACAAUAACAAGCAGACGUACACUAACAAAAUGUGGUUGGGUGGUAUGCUAUUCGUUGUUUAAUGACGCUUUAUUCAUGUCAUGAUCAGGGAGUGCCCUAUGCUGAUAUUUACUGCCCUCAAUUUUUAUUUUUAUUUUUUUUAAGGAGGAGAAUAGAAAUAUUGAGGCAUUACGUCUUGAUAAAAUUGGCUCAAUCAAGUUCUUGGAGCAAGAGAGCUUUAGAAGAAUGCCUUACUUGAAGUUCCUUCAUUUGAGUGAAGUGGAUUUUGUUGGAGAUUUUGGGGAUUCACUUUCUGAACUAAGAUGGCUAAAGUGGGAAACGUGUCCCGGCUUGUUCAAUGUGACGAGCAUUUAUUUGGAGAAACUACUAGUACUUGAUUUAUCAGGGAGUUUUAUUAGCGAAAAUUGGGAAGGAUGGAAUUCAAUUGAGGUAAAGAUGAAAAAGGUUCUCUUUUGUUACAUUUGAUGAUAAAACAUUUUAUUUCUAAUCGCUAAUCUUGGAACAUGUUUCUUUCCUGUAGAUGAAGAGGUUGAAAGUUCUCAAUCUUUCACAGUGCUCAAGAUUAAAGAGCACCCCUAAUCUCUCCGCGUUGAAAAAUUUAGAGAGGCUAAUUCUAGAGGAUUGUGUUUUUUUGGAGAAAAUCGACCCUUCCAUUGGAGAUGUCACGUGCCUCGUUUCCUUGAACUUGAGGUUCUGUAAAAUGCUCAAUAAUUUACCCGAACAACUGGGUAAGCUAAAAAAUUUGGAGGAACUUGUCGUAGACUUUGCUAUGAUAAAAGAAAUCCCUCCAUAUAUAGGAUCUCUAAAGAAGUUGAAGACGCUUAGUGCCACGUAUUGUUUUAAUUUUACUGAAGUCUUCGAUGCAAUAUCAUUAUUAUGUUCGGAAAGUUUGUCAUUAGCGAAAUGCCCUGAGUUGCAGCCGGUCCCUUCUUCAAUUGGGGAGUUGGAAGAGCCGGUUUUGCGGUCAUUUUCGGGGAUUGGAUCCACUGUGAAAUUGAACAAAUUGAAAAUUCUGAGAAUUGGUGAGAGCGUUAUAAAAAGGUUACCGAGCUCUAUUGGAAAAUUGCAAAGCCUCCAAGAGCUCGACGCCGACAAAUGCUUUGACCUGGAAGGACAAAUUCAUGUUGAUAAUGGUGGAUUGUCUUCUCUAAAGACCCUUGAUUUAUGCAACACAAAAUUUUUUGGCUUGCCGAAAAACUUACAUCGGGUUUAUUUUCUCGAGCACCUCGAUUUACAUUUUUGUAGAGAGCUUGGGUCACUCCCAAAACCUCCUUUUAGCUUAUCAUCCUUGAAGCUCAACUGUCGGAGCAAUAAGCUGCGAUUCCUCUCUCACCCAUCGCUCUCUCACCUGAAGCAUCUACAAGAGCUCUCCCUUGAUUUUUGCGAGUCUCUUCAAAGCAUCCCAUCGCUCUCUCACUUGGAGCAUCUACAAAAGCUCUCCCUUGAUUCCUGCAAGUCUCUUCAAAGCAUCCCAUCGCUCUCUCACUUGGAGCGUCUACAGAAGCUCGACCUUUAUCAUUGCGACUCUCUUCAAAGCAUCCCAUCGCUCUCUCACCUGAAGCAUCUACAGGAGCUCCUUCUUCAACAUUGCAUGUCUCUUCAAAGCAUUCUAGAGCUUCCCUCCUGCAUACAGAAGCUUUUAUCUUUAUAGAUGUCCCGAAUUGGAAAGGCUGCCAAAUCUUUCCGAUUUGAAAUUUCUGUCGGAAUUGGGGCUCAUUGAAUGCAAUGGGCUGAAGCAAUUGGAUGGACUGGAAGCUUUAAAAUCCCUAAGAGAGUUGCACCUAUCCAGAGAUCCAUAUCCAUACAUUAUUGGGGAUUUUGAUGAAGAGCCAGAUAAACUCCAUGCAAUAGAAGGGCUUGAAAUAUUGGGAUCCUUGGAAGUGGUGGAUAUCUCUGGGCGCAAGCACAUUCAAGUACUGGACCUUUCAAAGUCGGAGCAUCUCAAGCGGUUGAUUGUUAAGAAUUGCAAAAGCUUAGUUGAAAUUCGUUGCCCUAGUCAAUUACUAGAGGACUUUGAUAGGGAUGGGUGUGAGUCACUCAAGAAAUUACCUGACUUUUUACCACAAGACGGUCCAUGAUUUAUGAGGGAAGAAACAGCAAGAAGCUGAACGAGGUUUGCGGGCUAUAGUCAGAUCUUCAUGAGGAAGCCAAUGAGGUUACUGAGGACGUGGUGCGAUUC